rnacentral:rRNA from 1 species
CAGAAUGUCAAUAUGAAGAGAUUUAACCAAGCGCGGUAAACAGCGGGAGUAACUAUGACUCUCUUAAGGUAGCCAAAUGCCUCGUCGUCCAAUUAGCGACGCGCAUGAAUGGAUUAAUGAGAUUCCCACUGUCCCUAAUUACUAUCUAGCGAAACCACAGCCAAGGGAACGGGCUUGGCAAAAUUAGCGGGGAAAGAAGACCCUGUUGAGCUUGACUUUAUUCAGAAUUUGUGAAAUGGUGCUCGAGGUAUAGAAUAGGUGGGAGUGUAACGAAAUUGAAAUACCACUACUUUUGACGUUGUUUUACUUAUUAAUAAAAACUAAAAGAUUAAUAAUCUUGAUUCUAGAAUUAACGAAUAUUACAUGUUGACUCCAUGUGGGUUAACCUCUGAUUUGGGAAGUUUGUUUAAGACAUUUUCUGGUGGGGAGUUUGGCUGGGGCGGCACAUCUGUUAAAAGAUAACACAGGUGUCCAAAGUAUAACUCAAUGAGAACGGAAAUCUCAUGUAGAAUAAAAG